UCCCGGGUAGUUCAAUUGGUAGAACACAGGACUUUGAAUCCUGGCGUUGGAGGUUCGAGUCCUCCCCCGGGAG
rnacentral:tRNA from 1 species